rnacentral:rRNA from 1 species
GCCUACAGCUACACCACCUGGUGCUGUGAUCUUAUUAGAUCUCACAAACUAAAGAGGGUUGGGCUGAGUCAGAACUUGGAUGGAAACCAACAAGAAACACCUACAGCAGCACACA